rnacentral:misc_RNA from 1 species
AGCAAGAGGCUCGUGCACAACAGAGUUUGUGGACACCGAAACUGGCUUCCCUUCUAAUUGCAGCAUCAUGCUGCCCAGUAUUUCAGUCAACAACUUCUUGAACUCUUCCUCUUUAACCAUCUUCCCAUCAUCGGCAUCCAACAUCUUACAGACUUCUUGUAUGACCUUAUCCAUCUGAUCAACAGCACCAAUGGGAGGUAAACCAGCUGAUGGUGCAAGAACAUCAAGUGCAACUCGUAGGUAUUCCUUUGACAUUUUCCCAUUGCGAUCUCUGGGUAUAGUCUUUAAGGCAGAGUCCAGCGUCUUAUCCAAUUCAAACUUGUUAGACAAUAGUCUUUUAAUUCCACUUCCAUCAAAUGUAUUCUCGCUGUGAGCAACAAUGACUGGCUGCUCCUUGAGACGUUGAGCAGCACUCUCUGCAACUUUCUUAAAUUCAGCCAAAAAUGUUUCUUGUGUAACAGGUUGCUCGUUAGUUGCUCCAAUGCAGGAUUCAACUACUGGCUCCACAACAUUACUCAUUACCCAUGAGUCUGAUGCAGGAGGCAUCCCUUGAUCAACCGUGAGCUUCUCAAAAGCCUUGAUGAUGUAAUCUUUGAGGGAUCCAUCAGGCAAUUCUAACUCAGAGUACAGGGAAAUCAUCUCUGGUUCGAAUGCAGGACUUUUAACGAACUCAAGAAGAUCUUCACCAUCCAUACGAAGGAGUACAAUAGGAUCUCGCUUUAGACCAGCAGCCAUUCCUAGUAAAAUAUCUGAAAGAACUUCUUUAAACUCAGUCUUGCUUACUUUCUCUUGCUUUCCAUGUGUGAAUUCUUGAAGAACCUCAGAGUAGAUAUGAUCAGAUUCAGGGGAAGAACCUUGAGGAGGUAAACCAAGGGCAACACCAAUAUCAGCAACAGCAGGUUGUAACUCCUUAACUGAAAGUUUACCGUCUUUGUCUAUGUCAAGUUCUUCAAACUUAUGAUCUACAAAGUUACUAAACACAGCCUCAUUUCCAACUAACUUCAUUAUAUCUGAACCGUCCAUCACCUGACUCUCACUACUUUUCAACUUCAUCAAUUCAUUUUUCUCCAUUUUUAAUUUAAUUCCUUGUCAACACAACUCACUUUCUCCUCGUGACCAACUUUCUUUUUCUUU